rnacentral:tRNA from 1 species
GGAAAUGUGCCUGAAUGAUCAAAGGGCCACUUUGAUAGAGUGGACAAUGGGAGUUAAAAUCCCCCCAUUUCCU